rnacentral:misc_RNA from 1 species
CCAAUAGCGUAUAUUAAAGUUGUUGUGGUUAAAAAGCUCGUAGUUGAACCUUGGGCCUGGCUGGCCGGUCCGCCUCACCGCGUGCACUGGUCCGGCCGGGCCUUUCCCUCUGUGGAACCCCAUGCCCUUCACUGGGUGUGGCGGGGAAACAGGACUUUUACUUUGAAAAAAUUAGAGUGCUCCAGGCAGGCCUAUGCUCGAAUACAUUAGCAUGGAAUAAUAGAAUAGGACGUGCGGUUCUAUUUUGUUGGUUUCUAGGACCGCCGUAAUGAUUAAUAGGGACAGUCGGGGGCAUCAGUAUUCAAUUGUCAGAGGUGAAAUUCUUAGAUUUAUUGAAGACGAACUACUGCGAAAGCAUUCGCCAAGGAUGUUUUCAUUAAUCAGUGAACGAAAGUUAGGGGAUCGAAGACGAUCAGAUACCGUCGUAGUCUUAACCAUAAACUAUGCCGACUAGGGAUCGGAUGAUGUUAAUUUUAUAAUGACUCAUUCGGCGCCUUACG